rnacentral:lncRNA from 1 species
UUAACUUAUUCACCAAUCAAAUGGUGUGCCACAUUACCCGUGCUUAACAUUAUCUAAGCAUCAUUGUUUAGAAGAUCAUUUCGUGUGUAUAUAUAAUCCUCCGUAAACGGAGUAGCGUUUGAGAUGCUUCGUUUUUUGAAAUUUAAUCAAUAUAUAAAUUUUGGCAAAUGGAUUCUUCAAAGUUAAUCAGAUGGUAGCAACCUAUGAUCCUUCAUACAUUGUCAUAUCUUAAAAUAAAAUCUUUCAGUAACAUAUCAAAAAUAAUAACCCUCAUAACACAAUUAAUUUCCUUAUACACUUAGCUUCUCCAUCUCCCUCCUAAGUGCAUUAGCCCUCACCAAACUCCCAAUUGUAUUCACAGCCAAUUUCAAGUCAUCAAGUGGAUUCCCAGGGACCACUCUCUUGUACAAAUAGCUAUCAAAUGUCAUUUUUUGCACAUAUUCAUCUGCACACAUUUCUACAAAUGCUUCCCUCGCCGGAUUCGACCUGUAAAACACCUUCUGAAGAACAUCCAAAACCUUGUAUGUAGGCCAAUAU